CUCCCUCUCACCCCUGACCCUGCCGGAAAGCGAAACUGAGAUGCGGGCAUUGGGCCCUGGGAAGCGUGGGGAAGGGGAAAGGAGAAAGCCAGCCAAAUGCAGCUCUACGGGCGAUCAAUCAAUGGGUAGUCUUCGGAUAAUCUGUGAGAGUGAGAAAUCUAAUAAAGCUAGCGACUAAAAAAGGAAAACAAAAUCUAUUUUUCUCUUAGGUUAACUAUGUCAGGAUUAAUGUGUUCCACUUCUGCUGCCUGAGAAAUUGAGAAAUUAAGUCCUUUCCAUGGAUCAUUCCUUCUGUAAACAGAGAUCACAAAGCAAGAGCUUCAGCAUCCUCGUGAAAAAGACAUUUUGUUCUGGGUGUCAUUAUCUCCUUCCACUACAGCUUGCAAUUGGAACAAGCUUCACAUCCUGGGGGUGCUGCCUACCUCUGUCUUGAUUUCUGUCUGUCUAUUCCUCCCAUUGACAGGAAUGUCGUUUGUAUCCUCCACGCAGCAGUUUGCAGAAAUCCAGCAA
rnacentral:lncRNA from 1 species